AGAGUUUGAUCAUGGCUCAGGAUGAACGCUAGCGGCAGGCCUAACACAUGCAAGUCGAGGGGUAAGAAGAGCUUGCUCUUCCUAGACCGGCGUACGGGUGCGUAACGCGUGUACAAUCUACCUUUUACAGAGGGAUAACCUGAAGAAAUUUGGACUAAUACCUCAUAGAAUUACUUUAUGGCAUCAUAGGGUAAUUAAAGCUACGGCGGUAAAAGAUGAGUACGCGUUCUAUUAGCUAGUUGGAGUGGUAACGGCACCCCAAGGCUACGAUAGAUAGGGGUCCUGAGAGGGAGAUCCCCCACACUGGUACUGAGACAGGGACCAGACUCCUACGGGAGGCAGCAGUGAGGAAUAUUGGUCAAUGGUCGGAAGACUGAACCAGCCAUGCCGCGUGCAGGAAGACGGCCUUAUGGGUUGUAAACUGCUUUUGCAAGGGAAGAAUAAGCUCUACGAGUAGAGUGAUGACGGUACUUUGCGAAUAAGCAUCGGCUAACUCCGUGCCAGCAGCCGCGGUAAUACGGAGGAUGCGAGCGUUAUCCGGAAUCAUUGGGUUUAAAGGGUCUGUAGGCGGGUUGUUAAGUCAGGGGUGAAAGUUUGCGGCUUAACCGUAAAAUUGCCUUUGAUACUGGCUAUCUUGAAUUAUUGUGAAGUUGUUAGAAUGUGUAGUGUAGCGGUGAAAUGCAUAGAUAUUACACAGAAUACCGAUUGCGAAGGCAGAUGACUAACAAUAGAUUGACGCUGAGAGACGAAAGCGUGGGGAGCGAACAGGAUUAGAUACCCUGGUAGUCCACGCUGUAAACGAUGGAUACUAGCUGUUUGGCAUUAUAGUUGAGUGGCUAAGCGAAAGUGAUAAGUAUCCCACCUGGGGAGUACGCACGCAAGUGUGAAACU
rnacentral:rRNA from 1 species